UUGAAAAAAUUGGAGAUCCUGAUGUUGGAUGGAAAUCCAGGAGUUUCGAUGAAGAGCAGCUGAAGACCCUCUACAACUUGCAUUCUUUGUUUUUUAAUAUGACUAAAUUAAAGCAAAUUGGCCAAAUUUCAAAGUUAAAUGAACUAAUCGAUUGGCCCACCAAUUGUCCUAAUUCGUGUAAAUGUAGUUGCAUCUCAACCCUGUCAGACUAGAACAAUUGAUGUGAAUUGAACAAUCUUAAUUUAACAUCCAUUCUUGAUUGUUUACCACGGAGGACUCGCCAAUUAGAUCUAUCUGAAAGUGGGGUCCUAAAAAUUUCCGCGAAAAGCCUCUAAUUAUUCUCGGAUAAAAAAAACUAUUGUGAAAUGAACAGAACCCAUUAAGAUUUCUCAUCACCAGUGGUACAAUAUAGCUUCAUGGGGCACAGGCAAAUUUGAAUUAGAGGAUCCCAUGUGGUAGUGUUGAUUUCAGGCAUUUUACUUGGAGGGAAUUGUAAUAAUUUUGUUCGUAACUUUGGAUAAACAAAAACUGACAAAUUUCUUUGUAAGUGAAGGAAUAAUAAGUAAUUCUUUGUGCAUAGGCACUUAUUCAUUUAUGACAACUCUGAUACAGCCAAAGAAUAGGUCUAGAGGUGGAACUGAAAUUUAGUUUCUUCAUUACUUAAAAUUAGUAGUCUUCAUUACCGUAGCUUCGCUCCCAGAGAAUUCAUUCGAAAUGAUAUCCUCGAUGCCAAGGAAUGCAGUUGCAGAGUGAUCAUAAUCUUGUCCAGGAAUUUCUUGAAGAGCGAAUGGUGUAAACUAGAAUUUCGUGAUAUGCAUCAUCCACUUCUUCAGGAUAAAGUUAAACAGGUUAAUUGUAAUCAAAUAUGGAGAUCUUCCUCUUGUGGAAGAGUACAAUUGAGCCGUUGAGGUUCACUUAGAAUCCACUACUUAUUUACCGUGGGGCAAGAAGUAUUUUUGGCAGAAAUUAAGGUAUGCCGUAGCUAAGAAGAGAAUGCCCAGAAAUUCGGUGUUUUAUUUUAAAUUAUUUUAGUUAAUUAUAAUGAAGAUAUUAAUGUAAUUUUAAAACUAUAUUUGGACUUGUGUAGAUUCUUGAUCUUAUAUUAAUUUCAAAAAAUAAGAAUAGGAUACUAAGAAAUGAUAGAAUUAUGUGCAAAAAUAUAAUUUUAAAUACUAAAUUGUCAUUAUUUUUUGGUUGUGUUAGAAAAUUUGAAUUGUAAAGUGGCUUGCAAUAAUUGGAAGAAUGAUAUAGAAUUGAUUGUGACACAUAAUUCAGAUUCACUAUUAUACAAGUUAUCCCAGAAUAAUUUCUGUAGUUGUUGACACAGUACAUCACACUCUCCACAAGGUUAGAAGCAAGUUUGUCAAUACAGAACUGUAGUGGAAAUUAAACGCACCAACGCCGGGAGACUGCCCGUUGUCUUCACGAUGAAAUAAGAGUUCUUUACUCUCUCAUUAGAGGUAUUUAGUCGCAGAAGUUAUUUAAAAACACCCUGUACAUUCAUAAAAAAAUAAGAAAUCUUUAUCAUGGUUGUACAGACCAAUAGCUAAGUUAAGACUGUAGGGUAGUGGUUAUUAUGGUAUAUAACAAUCAGUAAUUUAAAAUGUAUUAAUAGUUUAAGUCAAUCAAAUUUUUUCCAGCAUAUACUAUUUUCUGUUUUUAGUUUAUUCAACAAGCAAUGGUUGGUUUUAGGUGUUCUCUAAUAAUUUGUUUCUUAUUAAUGUUAUGUAUAAAUAUUCAGUUUGUGUUUAAUGUCCAAUAGUUUUACAAUCCAAGUGUUCCAGAUAUAUUUUGAUUAAUGAUUGUAUUUAUCAUUAUUAAUUAAAGUCAAAUAUUCAUUACAAAAACCAUUUGAUCUAUAUAGACAAUACUUGGUGUUUUACAGGGUUAAUGGGACAUUUCUAGGCUUAUGUCCCUA
rnacentral:lncRNA from 1 species